rnacentral:rRNA from 1 species
UACGGAGGGAGCUAGCGUUGUUCGGAAUUACUGGGCGUAAAGCGCACGUAGGCGGCUUUGUAAGUUAGAGGUGAAAUCCCGAAGCUCAACUUCGGAACUGCCUUUAAUACUGCCAGUCUAGAGUCCGGAAGAGGUAAGUGGAACUCCUAGUGUAGAGGUGGAAUUCGUAGAUAUUAGGAAGAACACCAGUGGCGAAGGCGGCUUACUGGUCCGGUACUGACGCUGAGGUGCGAAAGCGUGGGGAGCAAACAGG